CAGGAGUCCCUGCUGUCCUCCUCCAGGCUUACACCAUGAGAGGGUGACUCUGAUCUCACAGGCUGUCCUAAAUUUGAGACGGAGUCUCGGUCUGUUGCCCAGGCUGGAGUGCAGAGGCGCGAUCUCAGCUCACUGCAAGCUCCGCCUCCCGGGUUCACGCCAUUCUCCUGCCUCAGCCUCCUGAGUAGCUGGGACUAGAGGUGCCCGUCACCACGCCCGGCUAAUUUUCAUAUAUUUAGUAGAGACGUGGUUUCACCACGUUGGCCGGAUGGUCGCGAUCUCCUGACCUCGUGAUCCGCCCGCGUCAGCCUCCCAAAAUGCUGGGAUUGCAGGCGUGAGCCACCGCGCCCGGCCUACACUUUCUUACACCCACUCGGAGUUCGUCUGUGGAGAGCAGCCCCUGAGAAGCAGAUGCCAAGGGGAUAGGAGGGAAGAACACUUGUGAAAGAUGAAGGGGAAAAGAAGCAUGCUUCUGUGGAAAACACUUUCAAGUUCAUUAGAUCAAACUUGUUGAGAAUGGCUGACAUCUGAGAAUCAAACCAACACUCCUCAGCAUUGAGUCAAAAAGUCACAGAAGGCAAGAGAUCCUUAUCCUUCAAGGCAAGAGAGAUGGAGCUAUUGGAAUAUUCUUUUUCCUUGAUCAAAAUAUCCUUCAUCGGGGAAAUAUUCUCUUGCAAAAAUACCACAGCUGUCUGGUAAGCCAUUUAUGACACAGCCUUAAACCCUUUGAAGGUACUUGGCUAGACUGAGGAUGUAGAGAUGAAGACACACACCUUUCCCCAUAAGAUGGUGAAGUAGAGGGCUGAGAACAGACAUUUAAACCUACCAUGGGUGUUGUAAGAACCAGAUAAUAGUCAAUGCUGGUUUUUCCUCACCUUUGUGGAUCUUUGAAGAACAUGACAAAAACAAGCAAUGUGGAAAGAAUUCCCUAAUGAAUAACUGUUUUUGGGAAAACUGACUACCCAUAUGCAGAAAACUGAAACUGGACCCCUUCCUUGCACCUUAUACAAAAAUUAACUCAAGAUGGAUUAAAGACUUAAACGUAAGACCUAAAGCCAUAAAAACCCUAGAAGAAAACCUAGCAAUACCAUUCAGGACAUAGGCAUGGGCAAAGACUUCAUGACUAAAACACCAAAAGGAAGGGCAACAAAUGUCAAAAUAGACAAAUGGGAUCUAAUUAAACUAAAAAAACUUCUGCACAGCCAAAGAAACUAUCAUCAGAGUAAACAGGCAGCCUACAGAGUGGGAGAAAAUUUUUGCAAUCUAUCAAUCUGACACAGGGCUAAUAUCCAGAAUCUACAAGGAACUUAAACAAAGUUACAAGAAAAUAACAAACAACCACGUCAAAAAGUGGGCAAAGGAUAUGAACAGACACUUCUCAAAGGAAGACAUUUAUGCGGUCAACAAACACAGGAAAAAAGUCUCAUCAUCUCUGGCCAUUAGAGAAAUGCAAAUCAAAACCACAAUGUGAUAGCAUCUCACACCAGUUAGAAUGGCGGUCAUUAAAAAGUCAGGAAACAGAUGUGGAGAGGAUGUGAAGAAAUAGGAACACUUUUACACUGUUGGAGGGAGUGUAAAUUAGUUCAACCAUCGUGGAAGACAGUGUAGCAAUUCCUCAAGGAUCUUGAACCAGAAACACCAUUUGACCCAGCAAUCCCGUUACUGUGUAUAUACCAAAAGGACUAUAAAUCAUUCUACUAUAAAGACACGUGUACGUGUAUGUUUAUGGCAGCACUGUUCACAAUAGCAAAGACUUGAAACCAACCCAAAUGACCAUCAAUUAUAGACUGGAUAAGGAAAAUAUGGCACAUAUACACCAUGGAAUACUAUGCAGCCAUAAAAAAAGAGAUGAGUUCAUGUCCUUUGCAGGGACAUGGAUGAAGUUGGAAACCAUCAUUCUCAGCAAACUAACACAGGAACAGAAAACCGAACACCGCAUGUUCUCACUCAUAAGUGAGAAUUGAACAAUGAGAACAUAUGGACAGAGGGAGGGGAACAUCACACACUAGGGCUUGUCAGAGGCUAAGGCCUAGGGGAGGGAUAGUGUUAAGAGAAUUACACAAUAUAGAUGAUGGGUUGAUGGGUGCAGCAAACCACCAUGGAACAUGUAUACCUAUGUAACAAACCUGCACAUUCUGCACAUGUAUCCCAGAACUUAAAGUAUAAUAAUAAAAAAAUACAGAAAAAAAUAGUCAAUGCAACAACUUGGAUUUUGUUUCCUGUUUAGAAGGUUUUUUUUUUCCUUUGUACUGAGAAAAUUGAAGAAGUAUUGGCUUAUAGUCUAAACCUAGAAAAGACUACACUUCACCUGAAAAACUGCCAGCCAAGGCCUUCAUAUCUAGUGAUUUGACUAUGGUUCAAUUAUUAACACAGAAAGGAAGAAACUAACAAAAUCCAGUGUCUUAAUAAAGCAAUACAUCACUGUCAAAUAGCAUAUGGAGAACCACACCAAUAAG
rnacentral:lncRNA from 10 species